rnacentral:rRNA from 1 species
AGAGAUGUGUGAUGACGCAUAUCAAUAAGCGGAGGAAAAGAAACUAACAAGGAUUCCCUUAGUAACGGCGAGUGAAGCGGGAAGAGCUCAAAUUUGAAAUCUUCAAGGUUCUACCUUGACGAAUUGUAGUUUAUAGAAGUGUUUUCUGUUAGUGGAGUGGCAAAAGUUCUUUGGAAUAGGACAUCAUAGAGGGUGAGAAUCCCGUAUUUGAUCACUUUCUGCUAGCGUUGUGAUACACUUUCAAAGAGUCGGAUUGUUUGGGAAUGCAGUCCAAAAUGGGUGGUAAAUUUCAUCUAAAGCUAAAUAUUGGCGAGAGACCGAUAGCGAACAAGUACCGUGAGGGAAAGAUGAAAAGAACUUUGAAAAGAGAGUUAAACAGGUACGUGAAAUUGUCAAAAGGGGAAGCGUUUGACACCAGUGUUGUUUUUCCGAAAAUCAAUUACGAAUGUUUUAUUUUUGAGGAGUUAUGACUUCAUCGGCUUGCUCCUUUCUUUAUGAAACUUUCUUAAUGCACUUUUCGGUUAACAAGUCAACAUCAAUUUCUUUUGUCGUAAAAGGGUAUGAGGAAGGUGGCUUUCUUUUCGGAGAAAGUGUUUAUAGCCUUGUGCCUCUGCAAUCGGAGAGAUUGAGGUCUGCAGCGUAGAUCCUCCGGGGUUAGAUACGUUUGUGCUUAAGUUAUAGCUUUUCAUAGACAACUUGUUGACUAUGUUUAGUCUUGUAGCUUACUCGCUUACGCUAUUUUACCUACGCUUAGGAUGUUGAACUCUAUCACACACA